GGGAACCCACAACAUCUAGAGAAGCAACAAGCAUCAGAAAGUGAAACUGACUACAAUGGAUAUGGGAUAAGGGCAUCUUCCUUGAGCAAGGGGAAAAUUUGGAUGCAGACACAGACAAGCACACAGGGAGAAUACCAUGUAAAGAGUGGAGUUAUGCUGCCACAAGCAAAGGAACUACCAGAAGCUAAGAGAAGCCUGGAACAGAUCCUUCCCCAGAAUCUUCAGAGAAAGCAUGGACUUACUGAUGUCUUCAUUUCAGACUUCUGGCCUCCAGAACUGUGAGACAACAACUUUCUUUUCUUCUAAGCACCCAGUUUGUGUUAACUUGUUACAGCAAGAAAGUAAUAUGAUAUUUAAGUUUUAAAAAUGAAAUAAUUUUUAUUUAAUUACUUGCUGAGUAAAGUGAAAAGAUUUUAAAACAAACCUUACCUGUAAAAAUUAUUUAGUUGAGCUCAUUAUUCUAUAUAUGUAAUGAGGGCAAUAAAUAUAAUCGACUUUCUAAAAUGAGGCUAAUAUUAUUUCUUAGUCUUUGAGAAAGUCUGCAAUAGAAAAUCAGCAUUUAUUUGUUCAUUAGAUUCCCAUAGACUUAGGUAGCAAUAAAAUAUCUUUAAAUUUCAGUCUAUUCACAGUGCACCCUUCAGAUCAGUUUACUUUGAUGUCUUUAUAAUGCAAUCAUCCAAUCUAUUCUCAAUCCAUGCUUUCUUAUUCAUUCAGCAUAACAAUAUCAUAUGAUUUAUCUUUUGAAUAAGGUGAUGCUUUUCUCAAACUGUAUAUGAUUCACAAAUUGCUUUCUUCAGCAGAGAGAAAUGUGAGCUCAUUUCCUGCCAAACAAAGUAACUGCAUAAGAAGGGAAGAAACAUAUUAAGAGGGUGCAAGUUUUAUCUUUGUACAGAAAAGAAUGUGGCAUUAAAGUCAUUUUUGUUAUGAAAGCUGAAAAAGCAAAGGUCUAAUGUUCAUCUAUUCCAGGAUAAUAGGCUAGAAGUUAAACAUUUAAAGAAUGAAGACAUUCUCUUCUGUACAACCCUAGCUAGAAUAAAUUCUAGAUGAAUUUUGCAACAAAUCAUAUGAUUCUACAUAAAUCAAAAUUUUGUAGGCAUACAAUUUUGUUAAGUGAGUUUUCUUGACAGUGAACAAUUCUAUUAGUAAACAAGGCAUAUUAACUGAUUAGAUAUCCUUGCUGAUGCCUUAUUAAAUGACAAUCACUUAAGGAAAAGGUGCAUCAUCAGAUGACAUAUUUUCCUAAAUUGGGGUAACCAAAGCAAUAAUUAUAUUUGUAACAAUUAAGGAUUUUACUAAUUGGCUGUAUGCUCUUUCUGUUUGAAAGAAUGAAAAUCAGUGAAUCCUCCACAGACUUUCACUUCCAUUACAAAUUUUCUGUGCUUUGCACAAUAUACCCGUUUGAGAAUUCAGAAAAUGGCACGCUAAAAAUAAGAAAACUUGUAUAACCUCCCCAGUGCUGAGUUCCCCGAAGUUCUUCCACUAAGAAAUACUUAUUUUAAUAAAUCACCAAUAUAAAUACUAUUUAUUAUCCAAAGGAUGAGACUGUAAAAUAUAAAACUUCAAGAAAUUAAAGUCUAGUAAAAUGUCUUUUUUUUUUUGACAGAUCAUUCCCAUAAAAUGGAUUUCCAGGAAAAACUUAAUAUUACAUAUGUCUUUCAGUGGACAAAUCAUUGAAUAGAUGUAAUAGGCAAUAUUUAGCCUGUGGGCUGUACUUUGCCCACCCCUAUUCAUUCUAGAAUAUUAAGUUCUAUGGGCUUGAUAGCUGAUAUGGGUUGAGUUUUUGUCCCGGUCCAAAUUUCAUGUUGAAUUGUAAUCCCCAAUGUUAAAGGAGGGGCCUCGUAGAAGGUGAUUGAACCAUAGGGCGUAUUUCCCCUUUGCUUUUCAAAUGAUAGUGAAUGAGUUCUCAUGAGAUCUGGUUGUUUAAAAGUGUGUGGCACCUCCCCCUUCUCUCUCUUCUUCCUCCUCUAGUCAUAUAAGAUGUGAUUCCUUCCUCUUGGCCUUCUGUCAUGAUUGUAAGUUUCCUGAGGUCUCCCCCACCAUGCUUCCUGUACAGCCUGCAGAACUGUAAGCCAAUUAAACCUCUUUUCUUCAUAAAUUGUCCAGUCUCAGGUAGUUGUUUGUAGCAAUGUGAGAACGAACUAAUACAAUAGCCUAUUUAUUUGUCUCUUUGUGAAAAGAAUAGAUGUUCUUGCAUUCAAGCUUAGGUCUCUUGAGCCUAAAGUUCAUGUCGUUUUAGGAAGGACAAACAAGGAAAAUAUGAGAAGUAUAAUAUGGCAUAAUACAUAAAUCUAUAUUCAAAUCUUUAGUGUUCAAUGUCAUGCUAUUGAACCAUACAGUGUGGUUUAGUGAAUUAUAUUUAUGUCUCCUCUUAUCUUUGCUAGGUAGAUACUUGCACAAGAUCUAUUCUUUUAUCUUCUUAAUACACAUGCAUUCUCCCGACAUUAUUAAAAGUAAAAUAAUAUACUGUGCCAAGGAGAGCAAAAGAAAGGGAAAGCUGAUUUGUGAGUUUACUAUCAUCAUAUUUUAAAUUAUGUAA
rnacentral:lncRNA from 10 species